rnacentral:rRNA from 1 species
AUACGUAGGUGACAAGCGUUAUCCGGAUUUACUGGGCGUAAAGGGCGUGUAGGCGGUCUUGCAAGUCAGAAGUGAAAUUCCUGAGCUCAACUCGGGCGCUGCUUCUGAAACUGCAGGACUUGAGUGCUGGAGGGGAUAGCGGAAUUCCUAGUGGAGCGGUAAAAUGCGCAGAUAUUAGGAAGAACACCGGUGGCGAAGGCGACUAACUGGACAGUAACUGACGCUGAGGCGCGAAAGCGUGGGGGGCAAACAGGAUGAGAUCCCCUGGUAGUCCACGCCGUAAACGAUGAAUACUAGGUGUAGGGGGUAUCGACUCCCUCUGUGCCGCAGUUAACACAAUAAGUAUUCCGCCUGGGGAGUACGGCCGCAAGGUUGAAACUCAAAUGAAUUGACGGG